UCAAUGGGCGGAAGCUGAACCCAGCCAUGCCGCGUGCAGGAUGACUGCCCUAUGGGUGUAAACUGCUUUUGUCCAGGAAUAAACCUCAUUACGUGUAGUAGAGCUGAAUGUACUGGAAGAAUAAGGAUCGGCUAACUCCGUGCCAGCAGCCGCGGUAAUACGGAGGAUCCGAGCGUUAUCCGGAUUUAUUGGGUUUAAAGGGUGCGUAGGCGGCCUGUUAAGUCAGGGGUGAAAUACGGUGGCUCAACCAUCGCAGUGCCUUUGAUACUGACGGGCUUGAAUCCAUUUGAAGUGGGCGGAAUAAGACAAGUAGCGGUGAAAUGCAUAGAUAUGUCUUAGAACUCCGAUUGCGAAGGCAGCUCACUAAGCUGGUAUUGACGCUGAUGCACGAAAGCGUGGGGAUCGAACAGGAUUAGAUACCCUGGUAGUCCACGCCCUAAACGAUGAUAACUCGAUGUUGGCGAUAGACCGCCAGCGUCCAAGCGAAAGCGUUAAGUUAUCCACCUGGGGAGUACGCCCGCAAGGGUGAAACUCAAAGGAAUUGACGGGGGCCCGCACAAGCGGAGGAGCAUGUGGUUUAAUUCGAUGAUACGCGAGGAACCUUACCCGGGCUUGAAAGUUAGUGAAGGAUGCAGAGACGCAUCCGUCCUUCGGGACACGAAACUAGGUGCUGCAUGGCUGUCGUCAGCUCGUGCCGUGAGGUGUUGGGUUAAGUCCCGCAACGAGCGCAACCCCUAUGUUUAGUUGCCAGCAUGUGAUGGUGGGGACUCUAAACAGACUGCCUGCGCAAGCAGAGAGGAAGGUGGGGACGACGUCAAGUCAUCAUGGCCCUUACGUCCGGGGCUACACACGUGCUACAAUGGAUGGUACAGCGGGCAGCUACAUAGCAAUAUGGUGCUAAUCUCUAAAAGCCAUUCACAGUUCGGAUUGGGGUCUGCAACUCGACCCCAUGAAGUUGGAUUCGCUAGUAAUCGCGUAUCAGCAAUGACGCGGUGAAUACGUUCCCGGGCCUUGUACACACCGCCCGUCAAGCCAUGAAAGUUGGGGGUACCUAAAGCAUGUGACCGCAAGGAGCGGUAGGUAGGCCAGU
rnacentral:rRNA from 1 species